GGGGAACAACGUGUGGCCAAAAUUGGGCAUUCUGCACCAUUUUGGGGGGUUCAAAUCCACUUUUCUCAUCCUAGAGGCACACAGCAUGCUGCCAUUCCUGGCUCAGCCCCUUCCCAUGGUUUGGGGAGGCUGCUGCCUGCACUGAGACCUGUCUCUUAACAAAUUAAGGCUGAAAUCACAUGGGAUGGAGUGGCUUUUAACAAAUUAUGUCUGAAAUUGCAUGAAAUCCAUCGGUUAGUGUUUGCCUGCAUAUUGUGCUGAAGAGCAUCAGGGAUGUCAGGUGAUUUUGUGCUCUGAUAAGAAGGGGAUGUGCAUCCUUCCCGGAACGCAGUCCCAAUUUUUGUGCAGCAUUGUGACGUUUGGACAGGGCAGGGUUUGUCUGAGGGUGGUGGGAAUGCAAUGGGAUGGGGCUGAGCAAUGGGCACUGCGAUGGGGGCACCCCCAGGCAGGGAGAGCAAAGGAUCCUACAGGAACCUUGCAGCAAAACGCCUUGACGCCGUGCUCAAGCAAUGUGAACAGCAUCGUGUCUCUGGGGAUCAUUAAUUCAUGCAAAGAGAUGACUGCCAAAAGGGGAAACACGGUUCCUUCUCAAGCUUGAAAGCCCUGGGAAGGUGAAAUGCUUGGGUGAGCCUGUCGGUGUUCUCCUGCAGGAGGAGAAGGCUUUGACCUUGGCUUGUGUUCAUUUGCAACUGGGAGACGCUGCAGAGAACAGCCUGGAGCCACAGCCAUCCCCAGGCAAGGAGCUGCUCGUGUUGGGCUCCUCACAAAGGUGCAGCAGAAGUGGGUUCUGAGGUCACUGCAUCCCUGGGAUUUCUGCUGGUGCCCUGCGUGGCUCUGCACGAUGCUGCUGGGAAGGUGGAUGUGACAGAACCAGGUGCUGCUCCCGCUGGGUCGGACCCACAGCUCAUUUCAGUGGUUGCCUGCAGCUCUUAUUGGACGUGCACUUCUCACAAGAGAGGCUCUGGGGUGGGGAGGUUGUGGGAUUAAUUUCUGGCUCAAGGAGCAAACAGCUGUAGGUGAAGUCAAGGGUGAUCAGCCUCAGCCAGACAGCCGUGUCCCAGGAGAUGCCUGGGGUGCCUCUUGCUGCAAAUUGCUUUGGAUGUGUGAAUAUAGACCUCUUAUAGACUCCAGCACUGCACAGGACUGCUUGUGUCCUCAUGCUGCCAUCGUGUCCUCAAUCAUCAGGAGCUGCUGAAGGUCGUGGGAAGAGCACGAAGCAAUCCAGAGCUAAACCCGGGUAGUUUGCCUCGAGGAACCCUCACUUUGCACCCAGUUCGUGGGAUAUCCCUUCUGUUGGGUCCGUGCUGCUGCCCCAGGAGCAUCCCAAGCAGAGUGCAGGCACACAUGGGUUAUUUCUGCAGCAUGCUCUGUGCUUGCUUUAAGACAAACGGUGCAGCGUUGAGCGCCCGCUGGCAGGCAGUGUGCUCAGCCCCCUAUUAAAAACAGCAGAACAAGUUUAAUCUCUGGAUGGCAGGGAAGUUUGCAUUGUCAGCAGUGUUUGAUCCAAGUUUUAAGGGCAAAAUUGAAAUCGUUCUUCAGCCGGCUCCGCACAUUGAUCUCCAACACAAGAGCCCUUGUAAAUAACCUCCUGAGAGCGUGUCACCCUCUUUCUCCUCCAAACCACCGCGCUCCAAGAGAAGGGUGAUCCCA
rnacentral:lncRNA from 1 species